AUUUAGUGGGGAAUAACUGUUGGAAACGACAGCUAAUACCGCAUAAUAUUGCUGGAUAAUUUCCAGUAAUGAAAGGAGCUUUCAAGCUCCGCUGAUUGAUGAGGAUGCGGCGCAUUAGCUAGUUGGUAGGGUAAUGGCCUACCAAGGCAAUGAUGCGUAGCCGAUCUGAGAGGAUGAACGGCCACAUUGGGACUGAGACACGGCCCAAACUUCUACGGAAGGCAGCAGUAGGGAAUUUUUCACAAUGGGCGAAAGCCUGAUGGAGCAAUGCCGCGUGACUGAUGAAGGUCUUCGGAUUGUAAAGGUCUGUUGUAAGGGAAGAAAUGGUAAAACAGGAAAUGGUUUUAUCUAUGACGGUACCUUACCAGAAAGCCACGGCUAACUAUGUGCCAGCAGCCGCGGUAAUACAUAGGUGGCAAGCGUUAUCCGGAUUUAUUGGGCGUAAAGGGUGCGUAGACGGUUUUGCAAGUCUGAGGUUAAAUUUAGGAGCUCAACUCCUAAUCGCCUUGGAAACUACAAGACUAGAGUAUAGGAGAGGUUAGUGGAAUUCCNUGUGUAGCGGUGGAAUGUGUA
rnacentral:rRNA from 1 species